UACGUAGGGGGCAAGCGUUGUCCGGAAUCAUUGGGCGUAAAGGGUGUGUAGGUGGCGCCGUAAGUCGGGUGUGAAAUUUCGGAGCUUAACUCCGAAACUGCAUUCGAUACUGCGGUGCUUGAGGACUGGAGAGGAGACUGGAAUUCAUGGUGUAGCAGUGAAAUGCGUAGAGAUCAUGAGGAAGACCAGUGGCGAAGGCGGGUCUCUGGACAGUUCCUGACACUGAGACACGAAGGCCAGGGGAGCAAACGGG
rnacentral:rRNA from 1 species